GCAGCCUGAUGCAGCAACGCCGCGUGAGGGAUGACGGCCUUCGGGUUGUAAACCUCUUUUAGCAGGGAAGAAGCGAAAGUGACGGUACCUGCAGAAAAAGCGCCGGCUAACUACGUGCCAGCAGCCGCGGUAAUACGUAGGGCGCAAGCGUUAUCCGGAAUUAUUGGGCGUAAAGAGCUCGUAGGCGGUUUGUCGCGUCUGCUGUGAAAUCCGGAGGCUCAACCUCCGGCCUGCAGUGGGUACGGGCAGACUAGAGUGCGGUAGGGGAGAUUGGAAUUCCUGGUGUAGCGGUGGAAUGCGCAGAUAUCAGGAGGAACACCGAUGGCGAAGGCAGAUCUCUGGGCCGUAACUGACGCUGAGGAGCGAAAGGGUGGGGAGCAAACAGGCUUAGAUACCCUGGUAGUCCACCCCGUAAACGUUGGGAACUAGUUGUGGGGUCCAUUCCACGGAUUCCGUGACGCAGCUAACGCAUUAAGUUCCCCGCCUGGGGAGUACGGCCGCAAGGCUAAAACUCAAAGGAAUUGACGGGGACCCGCACAAGCGGCGGAGCAUGCGGAUUAAUUCGAUGCAACGCGAAGAACCUUACCAAGGCUUGACAUAUACGAGAACGGGCCAGAAAUGGUCAACUCUUUGGACACUC
rnacentral:rRNA from 1 species